AGGAAAUUGGGCCGUUUGAACGACUUAUUGCACCAGGGCAGUACAAAAGUUGACUUGCUGUUAAACAGUUCUGCUGUUUACUUCCAUUUGAAAUACAUCUAAUCGUCAAAGUAACAAAGAUUAAGAGAUGCUAAACUUUUCUCUUGGAUUAUAGAAACUGAACUCUCUCAGAUCUGGCAAGGACACGCUUUCCAUCUCACUUUUAAUACUAGUUGGGUCUUUACAAUGUUAGGUGUUAAUACAGUUUGCUAUAGAAUUAUUUACAAACCAGUGCACUUUUUCCCCAUUUUCUUUUCCCCUCAUAAGCUCCUAGGGUGUUAUUAUGAAUUGUGCGUGUUUUCGGUCAACUAUCCCAGGAAGAUGAGUGUACAAAUAAGCUCACUUAAAAAAAAAAAAAAAAAGCAUUUAUUUUUUAUUCAGUCUUUUUGCGAAAGUAAUAUUUUUUUUUUUUUUUUUUACCUACUACAUCGAUCUGUUUGCCCUUUGGCCCCUGAUGUUUCGACUGCUCCUGAGAUGUUCAGGGCAAAGGCUGAAGUUUAAAUAGUUAUUCCAGUUUAUUUUUUUAUUUUUUACUCUGUCAGGUCAGACCUCAAUGAAAACAGAAAUAGGGUGAAGGGAGGCAACUCACUAUUGAGACGUACCCCAUAAUCGCAAAUGGUUUCUACGGCAACCGUAUAUCUUCCCGGCCAAUCGCCUCAGCCGAUCAGUCUCUCAGUGGACCCUUUUUAUUUAAAAAAAAACAAACAAACAAACAAACAAACAACAAAAAUAAUUAAAGAAAUCAUACGUUUUAUUUUGUAUGUUGUGUAUAUACUAUGAUGUCAUUUUCUUAAACUGUCUGAAGGUGUAUUUGGGAGACACUCAAGCGAAGGCCUUGGAAUUUUAUAACCAUAUCUUUGGUGGCGUCCCUGAUCGCACCCUAUUGCGCUUGUCAAAAAUAGUGCACUAUAUAGGGAAUAUGGUGCUAUUUCAGUUUUUACGCUAUUGCUCAGCUUCAGUCCCAGUUUUCGCCCCUAGACGCAUCUGUCUUACGACGUACUGUGUGGGGAUCAUUUGCAUGACUGGUACACACUAUCUAGGGGUUACAGAUUGUUUUGGGACUGGGCUAGAAUCUUCUGAAUGAGAGCUUUAAAAUUCCACCGCUGCCUUUUGCCUGCAAUACUUACAACCAGCUCCACCUUUGAUCCAUCUCAAGGAGCCGUAGUGUAAACCAGAGAAAUCACUUGCAUUGCUAAGCUAAUAGCCCGCUACACUGUAAAAGAAUGAGCUAGAGCUUCGUUGGAGUUCGACUGGCUAAGCUCGUGGCUAACACUUAUGUCAGUCGCUCUCGUGGCGACGGUGUGCUGAAGAGCACACCGCUGUGUGAUUCUGUCAGUGAAGCUAACGCUAAGCCGCGUCAUAACUCAAGUCACUUAGCCACAGUUGGAAUUGCUACAGUGUUAUUGAACUCUUGUUGCCUUAAAAACCACUACCUAGCAGAGACAGUUGUCACUCGCGUCAGCACCCUGGUGCCCGUUUGUCUCACAAAAGUAGCCUUUGUAGCGGAAACAUUGUAAACCGGUCAAGAUGUUGACUUAUUUUCAUUUUGGUUUAAUCAUGUCCGGACUGCCUUAACGAGCAAAUAUUAGGUCAGAUAGCUAGCCUACCAUUGGGGGUUUGUUUUUGUUUUUAUCCAUGAGGGAACCAUUUUGUAUAUUUCAACAAUCACAGGAUGCAACUACAGUGUUUCGCAUUGUCAAAAUGUUUUUCUUAAAAAUGUUCGCCAAAAUGUGUUUCGAACCUAUGUUGUCUGGGUUGGUGCGUUGGUAGUGUUGUCGUGUUCACCUGUUGCUAACUGUCAGUCAAUUGGUGCUGUACUUCAUUGAAAGGGAUGGUUGCUUUGUUACCAUGGGAACAGGUUAUGAUGACACAUACUGUAAAGUGACAGAGUUAAACCCAUCUUUUUUUCUGUUUGUUGCCAUAACGACGUUGUUUGUGUCAUGUUUGGUUUGUUUACGCGUACUUGUCUUGAUCAAAUCUCUUAAGUGCUGUUGUUUCUGGUAUUAUACACCGAUAAAAACCCUGUGAAACCGUUUUCAAAAUGGGUCACCAGUCAAUCUGUUUUCUUUAUUCAAACCAUCACCAC
ensembl:lncRNA